CCGCAGCGGCGGAUGGCGGCGGGGAUGGGGCGGCUGCGGGCUGCCGGCGGCCGGGAAGGUUACCCGGCGACAGGGAAGCUCUACAUUAGCUAAGUCAGUGGUGGACUCUUGCGGUGCCUCUUGUGGUCUGCAGCUAGCUCGAUGGUAGGCACGCUGGACAACGAAGGCCAACCCCUAUGACCACCGCGGGCGAGGGGCAUGACCUCAAAAGUUCAGCAAGUGACAUGGCUUUUGGAAAGGCUAUAGAAAGAAGAUUAAAAUGUCAACACAAAUGAAAUGACUUCUUAGUGGCAGAAAAAGAAAGAAAAA